UGCGUAGGUGGUUUCUUAAGUCAGAGGUGAAAAGGGCUACGGCUCAACCCGUAGUAAGCCUUUGAAACUGGGAAAACUUGAGUGCAGGAGAGGAGAGUGGAAUUCCUAGUGUAGCGGUGAAAUGCGUAGAUAUUAGGAGGAACACCAGUUGCGAAGGCGGCUCUCUGGACUGUAACUGACACUGAGGCACGAAAGCGUGGGGAGCAAACA
rnacentral:rRNA from 1 species